AGCAUAUUAAUGAGGGGAGGAAAAGAAACUAACAAGGAUUUUCUUAGUAGCGGCGAGCGAAAAGAAAAGAGUUCAGCACUAAGUCACUUUGUUUUUAUGGCAAAUGUGAGAUGCAGUGUAUGGAAUGUCAAAUUUCUAGUAUGAAAAAUUAAUGAUUUAAGUCCUUCUUAAAUGAGGCCAUUUACCCAAAGAGGGUGCCAGGCCCGUAUAACGUUAAUGAUUACUAGAUGACAUUUCCAAAGAGUCGUGUUGCUUGAUAGUGCAGCACUAAGUGGGUGGUAAACUCCAUCUAAAACUAAAUAUAACCAUGAGACCGAUAGCAAACAAGUACCGUGAGGGAAAGUUGAAAAGAACUUUGAAUAGAGAGUUAAAUAGUACGUGAAACUGCUUAGAGGUUAAGCCCGAUGAACCUGAAUAUUCAUUAUGGAAAAUUCAUCAUUAUGACUGUAAUAUUUAUAAUAUUACAAUAAUAGUGUGCAUUUUUUCCAUAAAGAACAUUGUAAUCUAUUAACAUCACAUAUAUUUAUUAUAAGAUCAUUAGCUCUAGUUUAUUCAAAUUAUUUUGCUUGCAAUUUAACAUAGAAUAAAUGCUUUUGAUUUGAUAAAGUGUUGAUAGAUUUAUUAUAUAUAGUGCUGAAAUAUUUAUAUUUUAUAAUAGCAUAUUUAUCAUUGAUUUUUAUGUUUAUUAUAUGCACUUAUAUGAUUAACAAUGCGAAAGAUUCAGGAUACCUUCGGGACCCGUCUUGAAACACGGACCAAGGAGUCUAACAUAUUUGCAAGUUAUUGGGAAUAUAAAACCUAAUAGCGUAAUUAACAUAACUUUAAUGGGAUUAGUUUUUAGUCUAUUUAUAGUCUAUUAAUUCAAUCCCGGGGCGUUCUAUAUAGUUAUGUAUAAUAAUAUUUAUAUUAUUUAUACCUCUAACUGGAGCGUACCUUGAGCAAAUAUGCUGUGACCCGAAAGAUGGUGAACUAUACUUGAUCAGGUUGAAGUCAGGGGAAACCCUGAUGGAAGACCGAAACAGUUCUGACGUGCAAAUCGAUUGUCAGAAUUGAGUAUAGGGGCGAAAGACCAAUCGAACCAUCUAGUAGCUGGUUCCCUCCGAAGUUUCCCUCAGGAUAGCUGGUGCAUUAAAAAAUUAUGUAAAAUAAUCUUAUCUGGUAAAGCGAAUGAUUAGAGGCCUUAGGGUCGAAACGACCUUAACCUAUUCUCAAACUUUAAAUGGGUAAGAACCUCACCUUUCUUGGUAUGAAGGUUGUGGUUGUGAUAUAAUGUGCCCAGUGGGCCACUUUUGGUAAGCAGAACUGGCGCUGUGGGAUGAACCAAACGUAAUGUUACGGUGCCCAAAUUAACAACUCAUGCAGAUACCAUGAAAGGCGUUGGUUGCUUAAAACAGCAGGACGGUGGACAUGGAAGUCGUAAUCCGCUAAGGAGUGUGUAACAACUCACCUGCCCAAGCAACUAGCCCUUAAAAUGGAUGGCGCUUACCUUGUAUACCUAUACAUUACCGCUGAAGUAAAUGGUUUAUGUUCAAUUUCGGUUGAAUUAUAAGCUUUGAAACUUCAGUGAGUAGGAGGGUACGAUGGUGUGCUUGGAAGUGUUUGGCGUAAGCCUGCAUGGAGCCGCCAUUGGUACAGAUCUUGGUGGUAGUAGCAAAUAAUCGAAUGAGACCUUGGAGGACUGAAGUGGAGAAGGGUUUCGUGUGAACAGUGGUUGAUCACGAGUUAGUCGGUCCUAAGUUCAAGGCGAAAGCCGAAAAUUUUCAAGUUAUAAUGAAAAGUAAAUAUUAUUUACUUAGUAAUUAAACACUUGAAUAUUUUUGAACGAAAGGGAAUACGGUUCCAAUUCCGUAACCUGUUUGAGUAUACGUUUGUUAUUAAAUAUGGGCCUUGUGCUCAUCCUGGCAACAGAAACAACCAUAAAGAAGCCGUCGAGAGGUAUCGGAAGAGUUUUCUUUUCUGUUUUAUAGUCGUACUACCAUGGAAGUCUUUCGAAGAGAGAUAUGGUAGAUGGACUAGAAGAGCAUGACAUUUACUGUUGUGUCGAUAUUUUCUCCUCGGACCUUGAAAAUUUAUGGUGGGGUCACGCAAACUUCUUAACAGGCCGUACCAAUAUCCGCAGCUGGUCUCCAAGGUGAAGAGUCUCUAGUCGAUAGAAUAAUGUAGGUAAGGGAAGUCGA
rnacentral:rRNA from 1 species